rnacentral:rRNA from 1 species
GCCCCCUACGGGAGGCUGCAGCUGAGAAUCUUCCACAAUGGACGAAAGUCUGAUGGAGCGACAUCGCGUAAAGGAUGAAGGCCUUAGGGUUGUAAACUUUAGAAAUUACCGAAGAAUGAAUGACAGUAGGUAAUGUAAGCCUCGGCUAACUACGUGCCAGCAGCCGCGGUAAUACGUAGGAGGCAAACGUUGCUCGGAUUUACUGGGCGUAAAGGGUGAGUAGGCGGAACUAUAAGUUUAAGGUGAAAGACCGAAGCUCAACUUCGGGAACGCCUUGAAUACUGUAGUUCUAGGGUAUUGUAGGGGAUGAUGGAAUUCUCGGUGUAACGGUGGAAUGUAUAGAUAUCGAGAGGAACACCAAUAGCGAAGGCAGUCAUCUGGGCAUUUACCGACGCUCAAUCACGAAAGCUAGGGGAGCAAACAGGCUUAGAUACCCUUGUAGUCACAU